rnacentral:rRNA from 1 species
UACUCCCGCCGGCGACCGGCGCACGGGUGAGUAACACGUAUGAAACCUGCCCGUAGCAGGGGGAUAAGCGGAAGAAAUUCCGUCUAAUACCGCGUAACAACCCGAGGAGGCAUCUCCUCGGGUUUAAAGGAAGCGAUUCCGGCUACGGAUGGUCAUGCGUCGCAUUAGCUAGUUGGCGGGGUAACGGCCCACCAAGGCGACGAUGCGUAGGGGUUCUGAGAGGAAGGUCCCCCACAUUGGUACUGAGACACGGACCAGACUCCUACGGAAGGCAGCAG